rnacentral:rRNA from 1 species
AUGGGAGUUCGGAGGAAGCAAAAACAUGAGCUGGCCGAGAGUCCUGCUGAUGGACGGCCGCCAGAUCAUUGGACGAAGCCACCAUUGGGCUGGAACAAGCUUAAUGUAGAUGGUGCUUAUGCCAUGGAGGUGGGCAUGGGAGGCGCUGGCAUGAUCUUGCGUGAUGAGGAUGGAGUGAUCAUCUUCGCAUCAAGUCGCCAUCUACAUACUUGCAAUAGCCCGCUUGAAGCGGAACUCGCUGCCUGUAUGGAAGGAAUUUCCCUAGCCUAUGAUUGGAGCACAAAGCCUUUUGUUAUUGAAACUGACUCGCAAGUUACAGUAAACAUGAUCAUGCAGCUAGAGACGGAUUGA